GAGAUAAGGGUACCCAUUUUCAUAAAAUAAAUAAUUGAUGUACUUACCUUUAUUGAUUUUCAUAACGGUUGGCAAACAACAGUACGUGUAUAUUCAGAUACCUGUGAUAACUUCCUAAACUUUGACUAGGAGAAGAUUGGUCCCAGGACCCUGUUCUAUCAAUAUUUUAAAACGAUGUCCAAGAAAACGAUUUUUAAUGACUCGGUGUGGGGACCAGUCGAACUACCCGAGGUAUGCUGUAUGAUCAUCAACACGCCAGAAUUUCAACGACUCAGGUCUAUCAAACAGUUGGGAGGAUGUUACUUUGUGUACCCAGGCGCAUGUCACAACAGAUUCGAACACUCCAUUGGAACAUCAUACCUGGCCGGGAAACUGGGUUCCGAGCUACGGGAAAAUCAACCCGACCUCGGAAUAGACAACAAAGAUAUCCUUUGUUUAGAAGUGGCUGGACUUUGUCAUGACCUGGGACACGGUGCAUUCUCUCAUCUGUUUGAUCUAAAAUUCAUCAGGAAAGCCAGACCAACAGUACAAUGGGAGCAUGAGGAUGCUUCUCUAGAUAUGGUGGAACGAAUUUUUCGUAAAAUCAACUUAUCUCUUGUUCCUGAAGAUGAAAGAUUAGGUCCUAAAGAUGUAAGAUUCAUCAAAGAUCUUAUAAAGAGACCGAAAGAUGGUUACACAGAAAGACUUGACAAACGUUUUCUUUACGAGAUAGUUUCCAAUGACGUGAACAAGAUAGACGUAGACAAAUGGGACUACUUUGCCAGAGACUGUCAUAUGUUGGGACUUCAUCACAAUUUCCAGGUGGAGCGAAGCAUCAAAUUAGCCAGAGUGGUAGAACAUGGUGAGAAGAUUCAUAUCAGCUUUCCAAAAUCGGAAUAUUUGAACAUAUUUGACAUGUUUUUCACUCGGUAUACCCUUCAUCGCAAAGCCUACCAACAUCCCGUGACCAGGGCCAUCGAAGCUAUGAUUGCAGACGCCCUUUGGAAUGCCGAUGAGUAUCUCUUGUUCCCGCCAAAUCAGACAAGACAGAACGGAGGCCUAACGUUGUCAGAAUCAACUGAUGAUAUGGACGCAUACAUCUGGGUGACGGAUGACGUAUUCCAUCAUAUAAGGACCCUCUCGGGUGACAACGCAAAGAUCAAAAAGGCUCAAAAGAUUCUCGACAGAAUAUUCACUCGAGAUUUGUACAAACUGAUCGGAGAGAAAAAGGUCGAGUUUGUGGAGAAAAGAAUGGCAGGGGAUGAAAAGGAUGUUAAACAAUGGAUGGAAGAGAGGCUAAGGAGAGAUUUAAACCAAGAUGAGAGGGACAUGUUUGAAAUACAGAAAUUAGUUUUGAAUUAUGGAGAUAAAGACAGAAACCCGAUGGACGCUGUGAAGUUUUAUGGGCGGAACAAAGAGCCAUAUAUCUACAAGAAAGAAGAGAUGUCCUUGAUGAUGCCAUCGACAUUUCAACAGAUUUAUGUACAAUUAUUCUGGAAAGGCUCCCGAGAUGAAAAUACCGAGCUUAAAAAGAGGAUUCGCAGUACAUUUUGGGAAAUCCAAAAUCACAAAAUUUAGAAAAGAAAUCUGAAGUAUCAAGAGCAGCAAAUAAAGAAUUCGAUGAGCCAUCAAGGGAGAGAAAAAAUAUCCGGAGGAAGGUGAGGUUGUGGCUGAAUUUGUCAACACAAUAGAGGCAUGUAAAGACUAAGACUCGCUUGCUGUGCUGCUGGUCUGAACGACAGUAUCCAAGAGUGACAGUGUUACUAGCCUUAGCUGUGAUAUGAAUAUAAUUAUACUUAAUCUCCAUGCACGACAGUAGUAUAAGCCUUAGCUGCAUGUGAUAUAAACCUAUAUUUAUGUAAUCUCCAUAAACGACAGUAGUAUAAGCCUUAACUGCAUGUGAUAUGAACCUAUAUUUAUAUAAUGUCCAUGAGCGACAGUAUUACUAGAUUUAGCUGUGAUAAGAACAUAUAUUUAUAUAUUUAAAAAUUCCUCAUAUUAUUGAUAUAUAUUCGUAUAUUGAUUUAUUACCUACAAAGUCCCGAAAUGUUUAAUGUUUAUCUGUUAAUGAUAUCAGUUAUUAUGGAAAUACCGAUAAAUGUUGUUCUGUACUAAGGAUGGAUCUAAUCAACAUUCAGAGAAAUUAGAUUAUAUGUGCAAUACUAUUUUUCUCAUUUAUGAACUUUGUGGACCAUGGAGGUAAAUUACUCUUUCUUAUUUACAGUUGCAACAUUAAACGCUUUCAUGGGGUCUUGGGAACUUGAAUUAUAGGGGACUAUAUUUUGCAAUCAUAUAUAUAUAUAUAUAUAUAUAUAUAUAUAUAUAUAUAUAUAUAUUCCCAGUCAAUAUCAAUUCUGCCGCACAAUAAGACAGAAAUAUCGUCAUGCACAGUGCAUUGUGCUGCAAAUUAGGAGAUAAUCAAAAGCGUAUACAAUUUAUAUGAGGUCAAUUGAAAGGCGAAUAUAACGAACAGUGGUCAAUCUCAUAACUCCCAUAAGCAAUACAAAAUAGAUAGUUGGGCAAACAAGGACCCCUGGACACACCAGAGGUGGGAUCAGGUGCCUAGGUGGAGCAAGCAUCCCUUGUGAUCAAAUGAAAUUUCAAGGUCCUUUGGUAUGAAAAGAGUAUGACCUUGAAACAAAAACCGCGACAUCCUACUUUGCGUCAAAAGAUAACUGCGAUUACUUAAUCAAGAUAUAAGGUUCACAGUGGGUGUGACCGGUCGACAGGGGAUGCUUAUUUCUCCUAGGCACCUGAUCUCACCUCUGGUAUAUCCAGGGAUCCGUGUUUGUCCAACUAUCUAUUUUUGUAUUCCUUAUAGGAGUUAUGAGAUUCGUUAUCUUCACCUUUCAUUCUAGAGUUGUUGCAUAUAAGAUAUCACACCUCAACGCUUCCAAUGAAUAUGAAAAGAAUCCAUCCUUAACAGUUGUUACGUGCAGUAUAUCCUCAUAUUUAUAAGUAUGACGCGUGAUGUGUUGAAUUUAUAUGCAUUUCAUGUUGUGGAGGAUAAGUGAAAUUUUGACAGAAAACCUUGGCUAAGAUAAUUUGUCAAGAAUGGUGAUUAUAAUCUACCGGUUUUUAAUUGCAAUUUCUUCCCCUGUGAUUGUGGUUAACUGGCCAUGUUUUUACUAUUACAUGUACUAGAUGUAUAUUGAAAUGCCAUAUUGUAAUCAAGUGGUUUUUUUUGUAAUAUUCAAGAGUAAUAACCUAAUUAUAUGUUCUUCAAUUUUAGUGCUCGGUAUCUUUUUAUUAAAUAGCAUGAAUUAUACACAUA